AAAAAAGGUAAGCUACUAAGAGCGAAUGGUGGAUGCCUUGACUGGUAAAGGCGAUGAAGGACGUACUAGACUGCGAUAAGCUACGGGGAGCUGUCAAGAAGCUUUGAUCCGUAGAUUUCCGAAUGGGGCAACCCAAUGUAUAGAGAUAUACAUUACCUAUAUAGGAGCGAACGAGGGGAAUUGAAACAUCUUAGUACCCUCAGGAAAAGAAAUCAAUAGAGAUUGCGUCAGUAGCGGCGAGCGAAAGCGCAAGAGGGCAAACCCAGUGCUUGCACUGGGGGUUGUAGGACUGCAAUGUGCAAGAGGUAAGUUUAGCAGAACAUUCUGGAAAGUAUAACCAUAGAGGGUGAUAGUCCCGUAUGCGAAAAACAAACCUUAGCUAGCAGUAUCCUGAGUAGGGCGGGACACGAGGAAUCCUGUCUGAAUCCGGGUCGACCACGAUCCAACCCUAAAUACUAAUACCAGAUCGAUAGUGCACAAGUACCGUGAGGGAAAGGUGAAAAGAACUGAGGUGAUCAGAGUGAAAUAGAACCUGAAACCAUUUGCUUACAAUCAUUCAGAGCCCUAUGUAGCAAUACAGGGUGAUGGACUGCCUUUUGCAUAAUGAGCCUGCGAGUUGUGGUGUCUGGCAAGGUUAAGCAAACGCGAAGCCGUAGCGAAAGCGAGUCUGAAUAGGGCGCUUAGUCAGAUGCUGCAGACCCGAAACGAAGUGAUCUAUCCAUGAGCAAGUUGAAGCUAGUGUAAGAACUAGUGGAGGACUGAACCCAUAGGCGUUGAAAAGCCCCGGGAUGACUUGUGGAUAGGGGUGAAAGGCCAAUCAAACUUCGUGAUAGCUGGUUCUCUCCGAAAUAUAUUUAGGUAUAGCGUUGUGUCGUAAUAUAAGGGGGUAGAGCACUGAAUGGGCUAGGGCAUACACCAAUGUACCAAACCCUAUCAAACUCCGAAUACCUUAUAUGUAAUCACAGCAGUCAGGCGGCGAGUGAUAAAAUCCGUCGUCAAGAGGGAAACAACCCAGACUACCAGCUAAGGUCCCUAAAUCUUACUUAAGUGGAAAACGAUGUGAAGUUACUUAAACAACCAGGAGGUUGGCUUAGAAGCAGCCAUCCUUUAAAGAAAGCGUAAUAGCUCACUGGUCUAGUGAUUUUGCGCGGAAAAUAUAACGGGGCUAAAGUAAGUACCGAAGCUGUAGACUUGCACACAACUUAGAUUAUUUAAGUUUAGAAUAUGAGAAACUAAGUUAUAUGUUUAGUUAUAUUUUUACUGAUUUUUAUAGAGUAAAGAUAGAAAUAAAACUUAGUAAAAUCAGUAAAAAUAUUCUUAGACUAAAGUUAAGUAGUUUAAGUUGUGUGCAAGUGGUAGGAGAGCGUUCUAUUUGCGUCGAAGGUAUACCGGUAAGGAGUGCUGGAGCGAAUAGAAGUGAGCAUGCAGGCAUGAGUAGCGAUAAUUAAUGUGAGAAUCAUUAACGCCGUAAACCCAAGGUUUCCUACGCGAUGCUCGUCAUCGUAGGGUUAGUCGGGUCCUAAGUCGAGUCCGAAAGGGGUAGACGAUGGCAAAUUGGUUAAUAUUCCAAUACCAACAUUAGUGUGCGAUGGAAGGACGCUUAGGGCUAAGGGGGCUAGCGGAUGGAAGUGCUAGUCUAAGGUCGUAGGAGGUUGUACAGGCAAAUCCGUAUAACAAUACUCCGAGAACUGAAAGGCUUUUUGAAGUCUUCGGAUGGAUAGAAGAACCCCUGAUGCCGUCGAGCCAAGAAAAGUUUCUAAGUUUAGCUAAUGUUGCCCGUACCGUAAACCGACACAGGUGGGUGGGAUGAGUAUUCUAAGGCGCGUGGAAGAACUCUCUUUAAGGAACUCUGCAAAAUAGCACCGUAUCU
rnacentral:rRNA from 1 species